UACGGGGGGGGCAAGCGUUGUUCGGAAUUACUGGGCGUAAAGGGUUUGUAGGUGGCCCGCUAAGUCACACGUGAAAUCCCUCAGCUUAACUGGGGAACUGCGUGUGAGACUGGCAGGCUCGAGGGCAGGAGAGGAACGCGGAAUUCCAGGUGUAGCGGUGAAAUGCGUAGAUAUCUGGAGGAACACCGAUGGCGAAGGCAGCCAUCUGGACCGACACUGACGCUGAGGCGCGAAAGCGUGGGGAGCAAACAGG
rnacentral:rRNA from 1 species